UAGUCGGAGGUGUGUCUCGGACGGUCGGUUCGCCGCUUGCCGGUGUUCAACUGGCCGGUCCGGACGUCCUGCCGGUGGGGCCGCGAGGCCCCGUUAUCCUUCUUUGGUCCUCUUCACCGAGUGCCUUGGUGGGCCGGCACGUUUACUUUGAACAAAUUAGAGUGCUCAAAGCAGGCCGUUGGUCGCCUGAAUACUGUGUGCAUGGAAUAAUGGAAUAGGACCUCGGUUCCAUUUUGUUGGUUUUCAGAACUCGAGGUAAUGAUUAAUAGGGACGGACGGGGGCAUUCGUAUUGCGACGUUAGAGGUGAAAUUCUUGGAUCGUCGCAAGACGAACCGAUGCGAAAGCAUUUGCCAAGAACGUUUUCGUUGAUCAAGAACGAAAGUUAGAGGUUCGAAGGCGAUCAGAUACCGCCCUAGUUCUAACCAUAAACGAUGCCAGCUAGCCAUCCGCCGAAGUUCCUACUAUGACUCGGCGGGCAGCUUCCGGGAAACCAAAGCUCUUGGGUUCCGGGGGAAGUAU
rnacentral:rRNA from 1 species